UAAAUACUCCCGAGAGACCGAUAGCGAACCAGUACCGUGAGGGAAAGGUGAAAAGAACCCCGAGCAGGGGAGUGAAAUAGACCCUGAACCCGUCUGCCUACAAGCGGUCGGAGCGUCGUAAUGACGUGACGGCGUGCCUUUUGCAUAAUGAACCUACGAGUUACCUUCCCCGGCAAGGUUAAGUACCUAAGGUACGGAGCCGAAGCGAAAGCGAGUCUGAACAGGGCGCCAAGUCGGGGGGGGUAGACGCGAAACCGAGUGAUCUACCCUUGGCCAGGUUGAAGGUUGGGUAACACCAACUGGAGGACCGGAUGGGUAAGCGUUGAAAAGCUUUCCAAUGAGCUGAGGGUAGGGGUGAAAGGCUAAUCAAACUCGGAGAUAGCUCGUACUCCCCGAAAUGCAUUUAGGUGCAGCCUCUUUAUAGUAUAUCGUGAGGUAGAGCGACUGAUUGGAUGCGAGGGCUUCACCGCCUAUCAAGUCCAGAUAAACUCCGAAUGCGCGAUAUAUAUUUACAGGGAGUGAGGGCGCGGGUGCUAAGGUCCGUGUCCGAGAGGAGAAGAAUCCAGACCACCGGCUAAGGCCCCCAAAUGAUCGUUAAGUUGAACUAACGAGGUCGGAUCGCAGAGACAGCUAGGAUGUUGGCUUGGAAGCAGCCAUUCAUUUAAAGAGUGCGUAACAGCUCACUAGUCGAGCGAUCUGGCGUGGAUAAUAAUCGGGCAUAAACGAUCUGCCGAAGCCGUGGAUGUCGCAAGACAUGGUAGGGGAGCAUUCCAUGCGGCGUCGAAGAUGAGGGAUGACCCUUGUUGGAGCGCAUGGAAAAGCAAAUGUAGGUAUGAGUAACGAUAAGGGGGGCGAGAACCCCCCCCGCCGAAAGACCAAGGUUUCCUGAUCAACGCUAAUCGGAUCAGGGUGAGUCGGGACCUAAGGCAAAGCCGAACGGCGCCGCCGAUGGAAGAAUGGGUUAAUAUUCCCAUACUGCCUCAUGGAGUGACGUGGAGACGGAGAAGUGACAGUCCUGCCGGCUGACGGAAUAGCCGGUUGAAGGGUGUAGAUAUUGAUUCCCGUAGGCAAAUCCGCGGGGAGAGUCGAACCUGAGAGUAUACGGAGCGCUUGCGCGACGUAAUAUGGACGUAACCAUGCUCCCGAGAAAAUCCGCUAAACUUAUCCAUGCGGCACCCGUACCGUAAACGGACACACGUGGUCGGGUUGAGAAUACUGAGGCGCUCGAGUGAUUCACGGUUAAGGAACUAGGCAAAUUGACCCUGUAACUUCGGGAUAAAGGGUCCUCGUCGUAAGGCGAGGCGCAGAGAAUAGGUCCAGGCAACUGUUUAACAAAAACACAUGGCUGUGCUAAAUGGAAACAUGACGUAUACAGCCUGACACCUGCCCGGUGCCGGAAGGUUAAGAGGAGAUGUCAUCCGCGAGGAGAAGCGUUGAAUUGAAGCCCCGGUAAACGGCGGCCGUAACUAUAACGGUCCUAAGGUAGCGAAAUUCCUUGUCGGGUAAGUUCCGACCUGCACGAAUGGUGUAACGAUCUGGGCACUGUCUCGACCAUGAGCUCGGUGAAAUUGUAGUUCCGGUGAAGAUGCCGGGUACCCGCGACGGGACGGAAAGACCCCGUGAACCUUUACUGCAGCUUCGCGUUGUUCCCGGGCACGGGACGUGUAGGAUAGGUCGGAGGCUACGAUUCGGUUUCGCCAGGAAUCGAGGAGCCAUCGUUGAAAUACGACCCUUCUCUUGUCUGGGAUCUAACCCUUGUAAUAGGGGACACCGCGUGGUGGGUAGUUUGACU
rnacentral:rRNA from 1 species